rnacentral:rRNA from 1 species
UACGUAGGAUGCAAGCGUUGUCCGGAGUUACUGGGCGUAAAGCGUGGGCAGGCGGUCUGUUGCGUCUGGGGUGAAAGGUCUCGGCUUAACCGAGGAAGCGUUUCAGAUACGGGCAGACUUGAGGACAAGAGAGGGAAGUGGAACUCCCGGUGGACCAGUGAAAUGGGUAGAGAUCGGGAAGAACACCAGAGGGGAAGCCGACUUCCUGGAUUGGGCCUGACGCUCAGCCACGACAGCUUGGGGAG